GUCGCUACUACCGAUUGAAUGGCUCAGUGAGGCCUUCGGACUGGCUCAGGGAGGUUGGCAACGACCACCCCGAGCCGGAAAGUUGGUCAAACUCGGUCAUUUAGAGGAAGUAAAAGUCGUAACAAGGUUUCC
rnacentral:rRNA from 1 species